AGACAUCACAGCUGAGCAUGAGAGGUGAAGCGAGUAAAUUGUAUGACUUUGAUUCAGCAAUUUACCAUUUUCAAGAGUCUUCAAGAAUUUUUGAGAGCAACAACAAAAAAUAUUAUCUGCUUGAAUGAGCCACAAUCCAUUUAUAGCCACACAGAGCCCCAGAGAAUGUGUGAGGCAAGCAAAGCCACACACAGUAUAUGAAGAAGAGCCAGUAAUAUUCACAAGGCUGCAGUGUGCAAAGAUGUAGGCUAGGGGAACACAGACGCGUCACACCACACCAGGAUGACAGAGCUCCAGUACUUCGGACGCAAAUGAACAAAACAGCCACAAUACGUUGGGCUUUUGAACUUGAAAAGUCUCCCUGCUUCGGACACAGACACACUCUGUCUGGCCUCAAGUUCAACUACGGUUUAUAUUCAAGACCAUUUACACCUGUCCCUGAACAAUGCAACAGGCAUCACCCCAAAAAUCCAGAACAUUCAGAGCCUGCUUUUGUAUCUUCUAAUGCUAUAAACUGCUACUUGGGCAACACCAGAUGGAUCUCAGGAUCGUUUAGACGUUAAAUAACAAACAAAAAACUACAAAUAUACAGGGAGUUUCAGAUACUGUUUUAUAGGAUGGAGUUUCAAAUACCACAAAAAAUUUAUUCCUGUGUGUAAUUAUGGUCUAAUCGAAAAUAAGUACAAAUUUAACAGAAAAGCACAUUUAGAAAUGAGAUACAAUGAAUCAUCUAAGUUUAAAUUUCAAUUUGUGAUGAUGUGAGAAGUGCAGGGUCCUUAUGUAAUGUGUAAUGUGCACAGGCUAUUUUGACUACCACUCUGGCCCAAAGUUGUAGAAUUACAACAUGGACAUAACAAGCUCUAAAUCAAAUUUUAUUAAUGUUUUCCAAAAUAACUAAAUAUGUAUGUGUUCUAGACCUUGUAAUAAACACAGGAAAAAAUAUGUGAGGAAUUUUAUUUGCUUGAAUCUUGACAAAUCCAGUCAUGCAAAAAAAAAAAAAAAAAGAAAGAGAUAAGAUCAACACGAAGUUUGCAGGUAAGGUGAGUUCAUGUCCAGGUGAGCGGACAAAUAAACACUUCUAUCCAAUAGCAUUAUGAGGACAAACAAUAGAAACCAUUAACUAUGUAAAUGUGGUCUUGAGGACAAAAACAUUCAGAAGCCUUUUUAAAAAAUUGUUACAAGUGAUGUUGUAAUUCUGCAACAGUGGGCGUUACAGGGUUAAAGAUAUUUUCUUACAUUUUUAUUUUGAAUCUUAUCUAAUCAGCACUUAUUAGACUAGCUUCUGGGUUACUAUCCACCAUACCAAGUGUUCAUGAUAUUGUUGUUAACAUGGCUAGAUAGCAUUGCUAGAUAACAUGGCUUUUGAGGCAUUCCUGUUAAUUGGCAACAAAUAUUGUACAUAUUGUUGUACAUAUUGAUUGGUUAGCUAUUUAGCAAUGUUACACUAGCUACAUUAGGGCAAAAGUAUGAGGAUACUUGACCACCACACCCACAUGUAGUUUUUUCCCAAACCCUUGCCACAGCAUUGAAAGCACAAAAUUGUCUAGAAUGUCUCCUUGAUGUAGCGUAACUUAUGUCACUAUAACUUAACCACCCAAACUUAAUUUUAAUCUUCAUUUGUCUAAGAUGUUAAAUAUAUUGCUAUUGACAUGAACAUUACUGGGGGCACGGUGGCUUAGUGGUUAGCACGUUCGUCCUCGCACCUCCAGGGUUGGGGGUUC